UACCUAGUUCCCAAAUUCCUAGUCGGAACCACCAAAAAACCGAGCGACAUGAAAUUCGUCCUCGUUCUUGCGAUGCUGUUGGCCGUUGCCUACGCAAUGCCAACUCCCAGCGAUGACAUCAACGCUCAACUGACGGCCAUCCAGGAGGCUAUCGAAAACAACCCGGAACUGGCAAAUGGAUGGUUGGGCAAGGCCUGGAACUGGGUGAAGAAUAAUAAGGAUUCUCUUGGUCAAAUCGCUGGUGGAAUUCUGAGCCUGGGUUAAACGUUGAACCGGUUAAAGUUUGUUUUCAUGGUGAAUUGGGUAUUGUGCUAAAAUCAGAGAUAUUACUAUGUAAUACUGACACCUUUUUCAUUCUGAACUGUUCAAUAAAGUUGUAAGCAAAUAAUGUUUUGAA